GUGCUCACUUUGGCAGCACACAUACUAAAAUUGGAAUGAUAUAGAGAAGAUUAGCAUGGCCCCUGCACAAGGAUGACAUGCAAAUUCGUGAAGUGUUCCAUUAAAAA
rnacentral:snRNA from 1 species